ACUCCUACGGGAGGCAGCAGUGGGGAAUAUUGGACAAUGGGGGGAACCCUGAUCCAGCCAUGCCGCGUGUGUGAAGAAGGCCUUAUGGUUGUAAAAGCACUUUAAAGCGAGGAGGAGGCUACUGAGACUAAAUACUCUUGGAUAGUGGACGUUACUCGCAGAAUAAGCACCGGCUAACUCUGUGCCAGCAGCCGCGGGUAAUACGUAGGGUCCAAGCGUUAUCCGGAAUCACUGGGUUUAAAGGGUGCGUAAGGCGGAUAACUAAGUCUAAGGUGAAAGUCUGUGGCUUAAACUAUAGAAUUGCCUUGGAUACUGGUUUAUCUUGAAUUGGGUUGAGGAUGGCAGGAAUGUGACAUGUAGCGGUGAAAUGCAUAGAUAUGUCAUAGAACACCGAUUGCGAAGGCAGCCAUCU
rnacentral:rRNA from 1 species